AACGAACGCUGGCGGCAUGCCUAACACAUGCAAGUCGAACGAGACCUUCGGGUCUAGUGGCGCACGGGUGCGUAACGCGUGGGAACCUGCCCUUAGGCUCGGAAUAACUCUCCGAAAGGGGUGCUAAUACCGGAUAAUGUCUUCGGACCAAAGAUUUAUCGCCUUUGGAUGGGCCCGCGUUGGAUUAGCUAGUUGGUAGGGUAAAAGCCUACCAAGGCGACGAUCCAUAGCUGGUCUGAGAGGAUGAUCAGCCACACUGGGACUGAGACACGGCCCAGACUCCUACGGGAGGCAGCAGUGGGGAAUAUUGGACAAUGGGCGAAAGCCUGAUCCAGCAAUGCCGCGUGAGUGAUGAAGGCCUUAGGGUUGUAAAGCUCUUUUACCCGGGAUGAUAAUGACAGUACCGGGAGAAUAAGCUCCGGCUAACUCCGUG
rnacentral:rRNA from 1 species